UGAUUGUGAAGAUUCUGUGGUUCUGA
rnacentral:misc_RNA from 1 species